CGCUUCGGGACUGCAAUCCCAGCAUGCCCCGGUCUCAGGGGCGGGGCGCAGUUCUUGCGGGAGGAGCGGGGCGGUGCGCUCCUGGCCACGCAGGCUGGAAACUGUAGCUCUUAACGGUUCCCCGCCCGUUGGUGGCAAGGCGGCUGGACUAGAAUCCUAGCAGGCGAUAUGCGAGAAGGCGGGCAGCCCAAGAGGGUUGGGCAGGGCAGUGUGGAUCUCGCCGCUUCCACAGCGAUGCUGGCUACUGAUUUCGGACACCUCCUUGCCAUGGGAUGUGAGUCCGGAGAGGGACAGGAGGGGCAGGUCCGGGUUGGGCAGUGAGGAGGGUGUGACGCCGCGAAGUGCACCUCGCCCUUGUCCAACUCGGACGGGUGUGGUCCUCACCUCACUUCCCGCUGCUAGGCUGGGUUCCCUCUCCCACCUGCACCCGGGGUCUUUCCUGGACAUCACGCCUCCUCCAGCCCAGGGAGCCACCUGCUUUCCUAAGCUGCUGUGGGAACUGGCCUGCGGUCCAGGCACUGUCCACUGUGCCGCUGCCCUCUUUUCUCUCCAGCCAGAGCGCAGUGCAGCCGCUAUGGGGAGAAAUCCGCCGCCCGGCCCGCCAGUGCACAAGUUCAGAGCUUUGCGUGGGGCAACAUGCUCUGUGGCUUCAUGAAAAUGUCACCCUCACCAGCGCCUUUUUCGCGGAUGUGGAUGUUGAGGUGGCAGAGAGGGUCAUUAUUGGUUUACCCAGGAGAUGCUAACAGCAGAAGAGAAAAUCUCACAUCCCAGGCGUGUGUCUCUGGUGCGCCAUUUUCCCCCAACCCAUUUGGUGGAAAGUUCCCCAAAUAGCUACCUAAAGAUGAAGAUAGUUUAGGCAUUUUACACGUGACAUCAUUGGCCUCAUCUCAACCGAGGCCUGACUGGGCAGUGUCUCAAAGACACAAUGGCAACCUGAUUCUCAGGAACAGGUGGUGCUCCAGCUUUGUGUGAGCGACUUUCAAGGUAUAGAGCACUUGGGGAGUCUUUGAAACUCCUCAGGCUUCACAACUUUGCUUUGAAUGGAAUGUUCAUCACCCCCGGCACUCACGGAGGUACCUUUACUCUCUCGGGCUGAUCUGUUUAAUUUUUCUGUCCAGACAAUGGAAACUUCUGGGAGCACUUCUGGUUUCGUGUAGCUUCCUAAUAAUUGAUGUCCCUUAAUUCCAGGUGUCCUCAGGGAAAGUUCCUUUGAUUCUGGAAUGGCUCCAGCUUUUAUGCUUUUGUGUUUAAUCCGUAAAAACCAAGGUGUUAAUCUACAUAAAAAUAAGACCUUGUUCAUAUCACACAUUCCAACAGGCUUCAUUUCUGAUUCCUGAAUGCGGAUUACUAUUUUAAAAAAGCCUAAAAACUCUGGUCAUGGAUAUUAGACACUGUUAUUGUACUUUGUGAAGAAUUUACUCCUUCAGGAUCAAUUACACACGGGCUCAUCAGCACCUUUGUCAAUAAAGGAACAAGAACCAUGUGGCAUCUAUGGAUGUGGUGAGGUGAAGUAUAGGGAGACCACAGCAUAACAGCUCUUCCCUUGUUUUCAGUAGAGUUUGUGGGGUCAAGUACCUGCAUUCUUCCCCCAUCCCUCAAUAUUCUCAUUCUACUCUUGACUGUUCCCUCUUUAGGUGGGAGUUUCUAAAUACACUCGUCCGCAAGUGUUGGUGGGGAUGUUGUAAUGUGAGUUCAUCCAUCAUCCGUCACCUUAAAGAUGAAUGGAGAGGAUUUUGUGAUCUGUGUUCAAGAGGCACUGCUGUUGGGUGAGAAAACUGACACUUGGAGAGGUAGAGUAGCUUUAUUUACUUCACACAAGCUUUUGAUGAAUUUCAAGUCUCAACCUAGAAGUCUUCCUCUAAGGUUCGUGCUUUCACGCACCUGUAAUUCAAAUACUGAUGAAAACAAAACUAUUGCCCUCCUACCAAAUGGGAAAUUAAUGUUAUGACUGGAUAAGACAAUUGUGAAGAAACUGCACUUCGAGGUUGUCUGUCUCCGUAUUCCGAUGGAAAAGGCUGGACUUUAGAAGCAUUGCUCGCUCCUUCAGUUUCUAACAAGAGUUUUACAGUUUCUGAUUAAAUACCAAUGGGAUAUCACCUCCCAUCUCUUAGGAUGGCUGUUAUAAAAAGGACAAGAGAUAACAAGUGUUGGUGAUGGUGUGGAGAGAAGGGAACCUUUGUACACUGCUGGUUAAAAUGAAAUGAAAUCAGCAUCUGAUAGAGAUAUCUUCACUCCCCUCUUCUCCGUGCCCCACCACAGCAUUGCUCCCAACAGCCAAGCCAUGGGAUGAAGUUACUGUGCAUUGAUGGAUGAGUGGAGAAAAGAAAAUGUGGGGGAGGUGUUUGUGCAUGUAUGUGUGUGUGUGUAUAAUAUAUAAUAAUAUAAUAUUUUUCAGCUUUUAAGAAGUUGAAGAUACUGCCAUUUGUGAUAACAUAAAUGAAUCUGGAGGAUAUUAAGCUAAGUAAAAUAACUUAGGGAGAGAGAAAAAUACUGCAUAAUUUCUGUUACAUAUGAAAUCUUUAAAAAGGUUUAAUACAUAGAGACAUGAUAGAGUGAUGAUUUGGGGGAUAAGAGACACAAGUCAACGUUUCAGUUAUAUAAAAUAAAUGAAUCUAGAGGACUAAAGUACAAUUUAAAGGUUAUAGUUACUAUUUUUAUAUUAUAUACUAGUGAUUUUUGAACAGGGUAAACUUUAGGUGCUUUGACACCAAAAGGAAACUACAUGAGUUCAUGUAUAUGUUAAAUUGUUUGACCGCAGUCAUCAUUGAUAUGUAUAUGUAUAUAUAUAUAAUUAUGGGCUCAUUAAAUUUAAAUGCUAUAAAUAGGUAACAAAGAAUAAAGUUAAUUGAAAAACUGCAUCAUUAGACUUGAUUUUGCCUACAUGAAAAACUGAAACUGCCUCCUAAAUAUUAAUAUUUGUACAUCGCAUAAAGUUUAUAUGUUGGAAAUAUGUUUAAAGAAAAGGAAUUAUAAAUUUUAAUAAACACAGAAUGACACAGUAAAUGCAAAACAGUAGAAAGAGAUGAAAAUCUGAUUAAUCAGAGUGGUUAAUGCUUAGAUAUAAUUAAUGAUGUGUUAGGAGCAAUUUCAAGCCACUUCCACAUAGAUUUAAUACCAAAGAGUUUAUGUGUACACAGAGAUUAAAUAAAAAAAUACAUUUACAAUGAUAUUAAUUGAUAUUAAAAUGAUUAUGAAAUCAACUGUCUGCUAUAGAAAAAAUAGAGCAUUAAGUAACUAGCAGUAAGUUUGAAACUUUGUUAGAAAGUUAAUCAAGUGAAAAAGUGAUCAGCAUUUUUGAGCACUAAAUAGAGGAUGGACAAAAUUUUCUUUUCUUUCUUUCUUUUUUUUUUUUUUUUGAGAUCGAGUCUGUCUCUGUCGCCCAGGCUGGAGUACAGCGGCGCAAUCUUGAUCUCGGCUCACUGCAAGCUCUGCCUCCCGGGUUCACGCCAUUCUCCUGCAUUAGCCUCCUGAGUACCUGGGACUGCAGGCGCCCACAGCCAUCCCUGGCUAAUUUUUUGUAUUUUUAGUGGAGACGGGGUUUCACCGUGUUAGUCAAGAUGGUCACGAUCUCCUGAGCUCAUGAUCCACCUGCCUCAGCCUCUUAAAGUGCUGGGAUUACAGGCGUGAGCCACCGCACCUGGCCUAUAAUUUUCCAAUACCAAGAAAAUCAUUUGAUAUUGCAAGAUUUUAAACCUAAAUUAGUGUCUUUAACUUCACAAAGGUAGAAAUCCUAUAAGUAAUGUUUCUUGAACACUUUAAAAUGACAAUAAAAACUAAAGUGUAACCAACAAGUAACAUGUAGCCACAUGCAAAUUUCCUUUUAGAUUGUUUUAUUAUUUUUUUAACUUUAUGUGAAUUUUUAUUUUACUAGGUUUUUGGGGAACAGGUGGUGUUUGGUUAGAGGGAUAAGUUUUUAGUGGUGAUCUCUGAGAUGUUGGUGCAGUGUACACUGUACCCAAUGGGUAGCCUUUGAUCCCUAAGAUUGUUUUAAAUGACAUCUAGAUUAAAUAGAACAUUCAAACUGACAUUACUUUUACAGCACCAGAGAAAUGCUAAGGAGGAAGCUUUGUGACUGAAACCAAAAGACCUGAAUUUAUAUAUUUAAUUUUACUAAUUAACAUUCUUAAUUUUAUAGAAAAACAGCAAUUCUGCCCACAUGCAGGAGUUAUGCAUUAAAGUGGAGCAUGAUCACUUCAGACAUUUGUCCAAAACAUAAAAAUUCUUCCAAGUAUUAAGAAAAUAUUUAUACUUCACAGAUAUUGUUAGUGUAUAAUACAUGGGCAUUGAGAUGUUUCAAAUGAGAAAAAUUGAAAUUUCUCAUGGGGCAUUGUUCUACACAAAAUAUUUAUGUAAAAUUUUUUACUCAUAUAUGCAUGUGGACAUUUGAUGUUUUAGCACAGAAUAACAUAUUCUCAAAGGUCAUUUAAUGUAGUAAAUUAAAAAUCUUUAAAGUUUACAAGAAUUUUAAAACUGCCCAGCAGAACUGAUAGAAAAAUAUGGGAGCUUCCCAGGACCAGAAGUGAAUCAAGAGGCAAAUUCACAGGAGUCAUGAAAGUGAGAAGUUAGAGCUGCCUUCAGGUACAGCUCUGAUUGCAGGGCUGAUUACACAGACCUCAAGCCUGUGAAAAUCGUCCACUCUGCCCCUUGGAAUAUACAUACAGAGAAAAUUACUAACUGGGGCAUCCCAAAUGUGAGAUCUCUAUAAUGUAAGAACCAAAUUGCAAUUAUGAAGCACACAAAAGAAGCUACCCAAAAAAGGGAAAGAAAUUAUACAUCACGUAAACUUCACAGAUUGGAAACGUAUUUAAAAUAAGUAACACAAAUAGGGAAAGAGAAUAUCAAAAUAAUUUUGAAAACACAUGAAGUUCUAAAGCGGGCACUGGGGGCAGUGGCUCAUGCCUGUACUCCCAAGCACUUUGCGGUGGCCAAAGCAGGAGGAUCACUUGAGGCCAGGAGUUUGAGAUCAGCCUGGGCAACAAAGCAAAAGUUGUCUCUACAACAAAUAGAUAUAAAAAAAUAAGCCAGGCACAGUGGUGUGUGCUUGUACUGUCAGCUACUGGGGAGGUGGAGGUGAGAGGGUCUUUUGAGACUGGGAAUUUGAGGUUGCAGUGAGCUAUGACCACCACUGAACUCAAGCCUGGGUGACAGAGAUUCUUUCUCAAACACACACACACACACACACACACACACACACACACACACACACACACACUAAACAGGCAUGUUUUGCAAAGACUCAAACAGAAAUUGAACAACUGAAACUUAAAUAAAUUUAAUAUACAGUGUAUGGUUUAAUUAUUAAACCAAGUUAAUAACAACAGGAUUAGUGAACUAGAAUACUGAGAUGAGUAAAUAAAAGAACUACAGAAAAAUGAAAUGAUCACAAUACAAAAAUGAGUAUACAUGUACAAAGAAUAAAAUGAAAUGAAAUCAAAUACAUUGGUUUCACUAGCUUACAUAUAAAUAACAAAUCACAUUAAUAACAAAUAUUUAUAAAUUUCUGAAACUGAAUAUCAGAUGGGAACCCUUGAAUGCAGAAGUGUAUUGUGAUUAAUAGUGGCCUACCAAUAAAAAAUACUCAACAGAAAUAAAAGUCAAACUGCAUAACAGCAAAGAAAAGAAAAAAUUUUAAAGCCAUAAGAGAGAAAAGAAGAGAGAACCAAUGAAGGUGAGAGCAAAGUCUUCACAGCCCGUGUUCAGUCAGAAAACAGAGAAAUAAGUAAGAGUGCUGAGAUAAGUCACUGUUCAACCAAUAAUUAGAUACUUCACUAACAUAUUUUGAAUAAGUGAGGAUGCACUACAUGAUUUCCAAAAGUAAAAAAGUGGGAAAUCUUAUUACCAAUAUGAGCUUAUUAAGAAUACACUUCAAAAAGAAAAAAAAUUUAAAAUGGAGUUCAAGGAAUCAAAAUGAAAUGCAAGAAACUGCAAACAUAUUGGGCUAUCAAAUCAUGGUGGACAAUGAACAAAAGGAUCCAUCAAGUCUUUGGCAGCAUCAGUUUCCAAAUGAUUUACAUAAAAUAAAAGUGCUAAACUCUAUACAAUGUAAUGAAAUAAAUUAUCAAAUCCUCUGAUACUUGAAUAAUUUAACUGAUGUUAGAAUCUCCUUUUCAGAUAAUUAUUUUCAUGGAAAAAAAUAUACAAUACUUCUGUCUCAUCAUUUGCAGAAUAUCAAUUAUCCUUUUUUCAGAACUUAUUAGCACCAAAGGGCUCACAGUGGCAUAGGCCCUGGUCACAAGCCUCUGGACACCCAG
rnacentral:lncRNA from 1 species